rnacentral:rRNA from 1 species
CACAUUCCAUCAGUUCGGCUGGAUCAGUGACAGGUGCUGCAUGGCUGUCGUCAGCUCGUGUCGUGAGAUGUUGGGUUAAGUCCCGCAACGAGCGCAACCCUCAUCCUCAGUUGCCAUCAUUUAGUUGGGCACUCCGAGGAAACUGCCGGUGAUAAGCCGGUGGAAGGUGGGGAUGACGUCAAGUCCUCAUGGCCCUUACGCGCUGGGCUACACACGUGCUACAAUGGCAACUACAGUGGGCAGCGACCUCGCGAGGGGUAGCUAAUCUCCAAAAGUUGUCUCAGUUCGGAUUGUUCUCUGCAACUCGAGAGCAUGAAGGCGGAAUCGCUAGUAAUCGCGGAUCAGCAUGCCGCGGUGAAUACGUUCCCAGGCCUUGUACACACCGCCCGUCACACCAUGGGAGUUGGUUUCACCCGAAGGCAGUGCUCUAACCCGCAAGGGAGGAAGCUGACCACGGUGGGAUCAGCGACUGGGGUGAAGUCGUAACAAGGUAAGCGUAGUGCU